GCGGCCUAUCAGCUUGUUGGUGGGGUAGUGGCCUACCAAGGCGACGACGGGUAGCCGGCCUGAGAGGGUGACCGGCCACACUGGGACUGAGACACGGCCCAGACUCCUACGGGAGGCAGCAGUGGGGAAUAUUGCGCAAUGGGCGGAAGCCUGACGCAGCGACGCCGCGUGGGGGAUGACGGCCUUCGGGUUGUAAACCUCUUUCAGCAGGGACGAAGCGAAAGUGACGGUACCUGCAGAAGAAGCACCGGCCAACUACGUGCCAGCAGCCGCGGUAAUACGUAGGGUGCAAGCGUUGUCCGGAAUUAUUGGGCGUAAAGAGCUCGUAGGCGGUCUGUCGCGUCGGCUGUGAAAUCCCGAGGCUCAACCUCGGGUCUGCAGUCGAUACGGGCAAACUGGAGUACUGCAGGGGAGACUGGAAUUCCUGGUGUAGCGGUGAAAUGCGCAGAUAUCAGGAGGAACACCGGUGGCGAAGGCGGGUCUCUGGGCAGUAACUGACGCUGAGGAGCGAAAGCGUGGGGAGCGAACAGGAUUAGAUACCCUGGUAGUCCACGCCGUAAACGUUGGGCGCUAGGUGUGGGGCUCAUUCCACGAGUUCCGUGCCGCAGCUAACGCAUUAAGCGCCCCGCCUGGGGAGUACGG
rnacentral:rRNA from 1 species